AUUGAACGCUGGCGGCAGGCCUAACACAUGCAAGUCGAGCGGAUGAAGGGAGCUUGCUCCUGGAUUCAGCGGCGGACGGGUGAGUAAUGCCUAGGAAUCUGCCUGGUAGUGGGGGAUAACGUCCGGAAACGGGCGCUAAUACCGCAUACGUCCUGAGGGAGAAAGUGGGGGAUCUUCGGACCUCACGCUAUCAGAUGAGCCUAGGUCGGAUUAGCUAGUUGGUGGGGUAAAGGCCUACCAAGGCGACGAUCCGUAACUGGUCUGAGAGGAUGAUCAGUCACACUGGAACUGAGACACGGUCCAGACUCCUACGGGAGGCAGCAGUGGGGAAUAUUGGACGAUGGGCGAAAGCCUGAUCCAGCCAUGCCGCGGGUGUGAAGAAGGUCUUCGGAUUUUAAAGCACUUUAAGUUGGGAGAAAGGACAGUAAGUUAAUACCUUGCUGUCUUGACGUUACCAAAAGAAUAAGCACCGGCUAACUUCGUG
rnacentral:rRNA from 1 species